UAGGGAAUCUUCGGCAAUGGACGAAAGUCUGACCGAGCAACGCCGCGUGAGUGAAGAAGGUUUUCGGUUCGUAAAACUCUGUUGUUAGAGAAGAACAAGGACGUUAGUAACUGAACGUCCCCUGACGGCAUCUAACCAGAAAGCCACGGCUAACUACGUGCCAGCAGCCGCGGUAAUACGUAGGUGGCAAGCGUUGUUCGGAUUUAUUGGGCGUAAAGCGAGCGCAGGCGGUUUCUUAAGUCUGAUGUGAAAGCCCCCGGCUCAACCGGGGAGGGUCAUUGGAGACUGGGAGACUUGAGUGCAGAAGAGGAGAGUGGAAUUCCAUGUGUAGCAGUGAAAUGCGUAGAUAUAUGGAGGAACACCAGUGGCGAAGGCGGCUCUCUGGUCUGUAACUGACGCUGAGGCUCGAAAGCGUGGGGAGCAAACAGG
rnacentral:rRNA from 1 species